GUGCCAGCAGCCGCGGUAAUACGGAGGUGSCGAGCGUUACUCGGAAUCAUUGGGUGUAAAGGGCAAGUAGGCGGCCAGAUAAGUGAGGGGUGAAAUCUUCCGACUCAAUCGGGAAACUGCCUUUCAAACUAUCUGGCUUGAGACUGGAAGAGGGAAACGGAAUUAGCAGUGUAAGGGUGAAAUCUGUAGAUAUUGCUAAGAACACCAGCGGCGAAGGCGGUUUCCUGGUCCAGCUCUGACGCUAGACUGCGAAAGCUAGGGGAGCGAACAGAAUUAGAUACUCUGGUAGUCCUAGCCGUAAACGAUGAGUACUAGGUGUCGGGAUUUCGGUCUCGGUGCCGCAGCUAACGCAUUAAGUACUCCACCUGGGGACUACGGCCGCAAGGCUAAAACUCAAAGGAAUUGACGGGGACCCGCACAAGCGGUGGAACAUGUGGUUUAAUUCGAUGCUACGCGAAGAACCUCACCUGGGCUUGACUUGCUCGUCGUAUCUCUCUGAAGGAGAGAGUCAGUUCGGCUGGACGAUGCACAGUUGCUGCAUGGCUGUCGUCAGCUCGUGUCGUGAGAUGUUGGUUAAGUCCCGCAACGAGSCAAUCCUUGCCCUCUGUGCACAGUAUGCUGAGCACUCUGAGGGGAACUKGCCCG
rnacentral:rRNA from 1 species